UGCAGUCGAGCGACUGAUUAGAAGCUUGCUUCUAUGACGUUAGCGGCGGACGGGUGAGUAACACGUGGGCAACCUGCCUGUAAGACUGGGAUAACUUCGGGAAACCGAAGCUAAUACCGGAUAGGAUCUUCUCCUUCAUGGGAGAUGAUUGAAAGAUGGUUUCGGCUAUCACUUACAGAUGGGCCCGCGGUGCAUUAGCUAGUUGGUGAGGUAACGGCUCACCAAGGCAACGAUGCAUAGCCGACCUGAGAGGGUGAUCGGCCACACUGGGACUGAGACACGGCCCAGACUCCUACGGGAGGCAGCAGUAGGGAAUCUUCCGCAAUGGACGAAAGUCUGACGGAGCAACGCCGCGUGAGUGAUGAAGGCUUUCGGGUCGUAAAACUCUGUUGUUAGGGAAGAACAAGUACAAGAGUAACUGCUUGUACCUUGACGGUACCUAACCAGAAAGCCACGGCUAACUACGUGCCAGCAGCCGCGGUAAUACGUAGGUGGCAAGCGUUAUCCGGAAUUAUUGGGCGUAAAGCGCGCGCAGGCGGUUUCUUAAGUCUGAUGUGAAAGCCCACGGCUCAACCGUGGAGGGUCAUUGGAAACUGGGGAACUUGAGUGCAGAAGAGAAAAGCGGAAUUCCACGUGUAGCGGUGAAAUGCGUAGAGAUGUGGAGGAACACCAGUGGCGAAGGCGGCUUUUUGGUCUGUAACUGACGCUGAGGCGCGAAAGCGUG
rnacentral:rRNA from 1 species